GCCCCUGUAGCUCAGUUGGAUAGAGCAACGGUUUUCUAAUCCGCAGGACGUAGGUUCGAUUCCUACCGGGGGCGCCA
rnacentral:tRNA from 1 species